rnacentral:rRNA from 1 species
AUGACAAAAACUCUGGAAGGUCAAGAGGCUUUGGUUUUGUCCAGUUCUCAAAUAAUUCUGAGGCUAAGUGUGCCAAGGACGCUAUGGAUGGAAAGCAUCGCAGAAAAGGACAAGGUGGUGAACCCGUUGUUCGAGAAGAGGCCGAAGCAGUUCGGCAUCGGUGGCGACCUGCCGCCCAAGAAGGACCUCCACCGGUUCGUCAAGUGUCCCAAGGUCAUGUGCAUCCAGUGCCAGCGCCGCAUCCUCAAGCAGCACCUCAAGGUGCCCCCCGCGCUCCACCAGUUCACACGCACCCUCGAUAAGAACCUCGGCCAUUGUUGUGAAGGCCGCCAAGGGAAGGAGUGGGGGAUUUGGCACAAGGCCGGUGAUCGAGUCUAUGCUCUCUCCUCCAUGGAAAGACCUAAAUUCAGCUUGACAGAGAGCACACGAAUGGUUUCAGCUUGA